UUCCUAGGAUAAUGAUCUCACUUAUUUUUAUUGGAGCUUACAAACCUUUGGAAAAAGAUGUAGUUGAUGCUGAAACUAAAUGCUUAAACUUAGAAUGAUGGGUAGAUUUAUGUUUGGAGAGCCACCACUUUAGAUGAAAAAAUAACUGUUUUCCAAUCACAUAGUACAGCCUGUCGGGAAAACACAUUUCUUUUGUCUGAUCUUUCCAGCAAUUUUUUGUUUCAAAUUUUUUUUCCCACACUUUAGAAUUUAGUUACUUUUCAGCAAAUUUAUAAACUUUGUAAACAUUCUACAAUGAUUAGUCACAAGUAUUGCAUCCAGGCCAUUUGAGACGUUGAUCAUUUUUCGAGACUUAAUAUAGUGACAGGUUCAUAAAUUGUCAAAUGGACCACUUGGUAUUUUUUUUUAAAUGUACAUCUUCUACAAUAUGAAAUUUUGAUAAAUAACUACCUAUGUGUAAAUUCUUGUCUUGGUCAUUAUUCAGUGUAUGAAUUAUUGUUCAGUAAUUUUUCAUUCUUUUUAUGUCAAGGUAAACAUUAUCAUACCAAACUGUUAAUAGCCUAUAUAGGUCAGCACUUAAAAAAUGCGGUUUAACCCAUUUCCAUAAAUUUGUAAAAUAGAACUCAUGUUGUUUUUUUUAUAAAUGUACAUCUUUUGAUAAAUUAUUAUAUGUAAUAAUACUGGUCUUGUUCAUUAUUCAUCAGUAAUUUUUCAUUCUUUAUGUCGGUUAAAUAUGCCAUACUUGUAUAAGCCUAUAUACACGUAGUUCAUCAACUGGAAUUUAUGAUUCUUACUUACUUUUAUUCUAUUCCUCGUAGAGAAUUUUAGUUCUUGCAUGUAACAAUACAUAGCCCAGGAGGCAGCCAGAAUAAAAUAAGAAUAUGCAGGGAAGUGUAAAAUCUUAGUCUUCCUAAAGAUAAGUUUUUUGUCAUGUGAAUUUCUCACUUAUAAUGAGUAAUAGAACUUCAAUUGAAAUAUGGGUUCCUUGAUACGUCUACAUGUCUGUCAUGCAAGAUUAAUUGACACCAACCUCAUUUCAUGGAUCAGUGAUAAAGGUCAAAGUCAACACGAUUAGCAGUGUGUCAAAUAUAUGUGAUGUAUGGAAUGAUUGACCUUGACCACAUUUUCAUGAUCCAUUGUAAGAUUUUGUGUUUUGGUAUUUUUGUCAAGUACUCUAGUAAUUGGUCAACUACAUCUAGUGUAUGGAUAAGAUUGUAAAGGUACAUAUAAAAAAAGAAGAUGUGGAAUGAUUGCCAAUGAGACAACUCUCCACAAGAGACCAAAAUAACACAGAAAUUAACAACUAUAGGGGUGCUAUAAACAGUUCGUAUAAAAUAACUA
rnacentral:lncRNA from 1 species